rnacentral:rRNA from 1 species
UACGUAGGGGGCAAGCGUUGUCCGGAAUCAUUGGGCGUAAAGAGCUCGUAGGCGGUUUGUCACGUCUGCUGUGAAAUCCCGAGGCUCAACCUCGGGCCUGCAGUGGGUACGGGCAGACUGGAGUGCGGUAGGGGAGAAUGGAAUUCCUGGUGUAGCGGUGGAAUGCGCAGAUAUCAGGAGGAACACCGAUGGCGAAGGCAGUUCUCUGGGCCGUAACUGACGCUGAGGAGCGAAAGCGUGGGGAGCGAACAGG